rnacentral:rRNA from 1 species
GACGAACGCUGGCGGCGUGCUUAACACAUGCAAGUCGAACGGAAAGGCCCCCACCUUGGUGGGGGUGCUCGAGUGGCGAACGGGUGAGUAACACGUGGGUGAUCUGCCCUGUACUUCGGGAUAAGCUUGGGAAACUGGGUCUAAUACCGGAUAGGACCAUGGUUUAGUGUCUCAUGGUGGAAAAAUUAUUGUUUUGGUGCAGGAUGAGCUCGCGGCCUAUCAGCUUGUUGGUGGGGUAAUGGCCUACCAAGGCGUCGACGGGUAGCCGGCCUGAGGGGGUGGACGGCCACAUUGGGACUGAGAUACGGCCCAGACUCCUACGGGAGGCAGCAGUGGGGAAUAUUGCACAAUGGGCGCAAGCCUGAUGCAGCGACGCCGCGUGGGGGAUGACGGCCUUCGGGUUGUAAACUCCUUUCGUUAGGGACGAAGCCACACCUUUUUUGGGUGUGGUGACGGUACCUUUGUUAAGAAGCACCGGCUAACUACGUG